rnacentral:tRNA from 1 species
ACUCCUGUAGCCCAAUCGGAAGAGGCGGCUGUCUCAAAAAUAGUCACGUGUGGGUUCGAUUCCCACCAGGAGUACCA